ACGAACGCUGGCGGCGUGCUUAACACAUGCAAGUCGAACGGAAAGGCCCUUCGGGGUACUCGAGUGGCGAACGGGUGAGUAACACGUGGGUGAUCUGCCCUGCACUUUGGGAUAAGCCUGGGAAACUGGGUCUAAUACCGAAUAGGACCACGCGCUUCAUGGUGUGUGGUGGAAAGCUUUUGCGGUGUGGGAUGGGCCCGCGGCCUAUCAGCUUGUUGGUGGGGUAAUGGCCUACCAAGGCGACGACGGGUAGCCGGCCUGAGAGGGUGACCGGCCACACUGGGACUGAGAUACGGCCCAGACUCCUACGGGAGGCAGCAGUGGGGAAUAUUGCACAAUGGGCGCAAGCCUGAUGCAGCGACGCCGCGUGAGGGAUGACGGCCUUCGGGUUGUAAACCUCUUUCAAUAGGGACGAAGCGCAAGUGACGGUACCUAUAGAAGAAGCACCGGCCAACUACGUG
rnacentral:rRNA from 1 species